AUGAGCUGUGACAUGUCAACGGAGAACAGAAGCUGGAGAAGCUGGAGUGAGGAAGGGGCAGACUGCAUGUGUGAGGUCCUGCAAACAUGGCGAUAUCAGAUCAAGCACACGUUUUUCAGGGAAAACAGGCACCCAACACAGAGACUACAGUGGCACAAAAAAAGGGGAAUAGAACUUGUCACCAUCAUCAGUCCUUUAUUUCAUUCACUGGAGAACAUCACAACCUUCAGAUGUGUCAUAUCAGGAUAAAUGCUGCUGCAGGGAAAAUUAUAUGAAGGACCCACCCCACUCCAGAUUCACCAAGGAUCCAGCUGAAGCCCCGUUCACACUACAAGCGACACGCAACGUCAAAGCAACACGAUCCCAUUCAUUUCAAUGGAGAGCUGGUGAUUUCCGGCGACAAGAGCGACAGGCCGUUGGUGACCGGCAUGUCCAGCGAUGCGACAAAGUUCAGAAUCCUUCAACUUUAUGCAAAUGAAAAGAGACUUUCGGGAGCAACAGCCAGUAGGAAAGAAGAUGGUAGAGCUCAUGUGAUCGUUCUCCUCUCAGCCGUAGAUAAACAUAUGCAAUGGGAAAAACGGCAAGAAACCGGAUUCGCUGUGAAGGCAACCAUUAGUGAG